rnacentral:rRNA from 1 species
GCGCACCAGUCGCGAAACCUCCGCAAUACACGAAAGUGUGACGGGGCCAUCCCGAGUGCCGUCCGCUGAGGACGGCUUUUCCCCAGUGUACACAGCUGGGGGAAUAAGGAGAGGGCAAGCCUGGUGUCAGCCGCCGCGGUAAUACCAGCUCUCCGAGUGGUGGGGACGCUUAUUGGGCCUAAAGCAUCCGUAGCCGGCUGGGCAAGUCCUCCGUUAAAUCCAACGAUUCAAUCGUUGGGCUGCGGGGGAUACUGUCCAGCUUGGGGGCGGGAGAGGCCGACGGUAUUCCCGGGGUAGGGGUGAAAUCCUAUAAUCCCGGGAGGACCACCAGUGGCGAAGGCUGUCGGCUAGAACGCGCCCGACGGUGAGGGAUGAAAGCUGGGGGGAGCGAACCGGAUUAGAUACCCGUGUAGU